UCUCCGUAGGUGAACCCGCGGAGGGAUCAUUACAGAGUUCAUGCCCUACCGGGUAGAUCUCCCACCCUAUGUUAUUAUUACUUUGUUGCUUUGGCGGGCCGUUAGGCUCCGGCCCGACUACCGGCCCCGGCUGGUAAGCGCCCGCCAGAGGACCCAAAACCCUGAGUAUUAGUGUCGUCUGAGUACUAUAUAAUAGUUAAAACUUUCAACAACGGAUCUCUUGGUUCUG
rnacentral:misc_RNA from 1 species